rnacentral:rRNA from 1 species
CCCUUAGAUGUUCUGGGCCGCACGCGCGCUACACUGAUGCAUUCAACGAGUCUAAAACCUGGUCUGAUAGGGCUGGGUAAUCUUUUGAAUGUGCAUCGUGAUUUGGAUAGAUGAUUGCAAUUCUUCAUCUUCAACGAGGAAUGCCUAGUAAACGCAAGUCAUCAGCUUGCAUUGAUUACGUCCCUGCCCUUUGUACACACCGCCCGUCGCUCCUACCGAUUGAAUGUUCCGAUGAAUACCAUGGACUGAGAGUAUGAAUGGGUUCGCCUAUUUCUGCUUCUCGGGAAGUGGAGUAAAUCUUAACAUUUAGUGGAAGGAGAAGUCGUAACA